UUAAAAAUAUGUUUUACGAUCAUAAAAAUUUUUAAGUAAAACCAUUUUCUGUUAAAGCAUCCAGAAAAGUUGUAAGAAUUAAAAUCUUUUGCUUGUAUUUUGAUAUAGUGGGCUUUCCAGGUUUAAAGGAGUGGAAUAGGUGUGGUUACUAGGUUAUGUAGGUUUCUAAUUCAUUGGCCAGCGUAAACAAAUUAUUCUGUCUCCACCCCUCUGUAUUGUUUCAGUGAGUAGAUAAAAGCGUCCACACACUCAUCACACUUUCGGAAAUAAUCCAUCAGAGGUAAAAAUGACUGAGGAAAAGGUGUUCAACAAUCUGGCUCAAAACCAGGAUUUAAACAACUAUAUUAUUUCCUUGAUCAAUCUUACCCAAGAUGAUCCUCAUACAUCAUUGUUUUUAUUGUCACAUCUUGAAAAAAAUAUAAAAAGUCUAAAAAACUGUUUUAAUAUUAUUGAAAAAGAUUUUGACCCUAUUGGGUUUAUCGUUAAACUCAAAUACAAUGGAGUUUCAAAAGGCAAGAUUCUAUCACAGUGUUUUUAUGCACAUGAGAGGCUUGUUUUGACAACCUGUCACUCAACUGGUAUUGACUCUGACUUAAUUUUUGCUUUCUUUCCAUUGAAAGAUGAUACCUUAAUUUACAAACUUAAUUCACGUCCCACUUACUAUUCCGAAAAAAUCGAUUAUGCAUUCUUUGAACUGCCAGCGGAUGCUUUUGUCCCUUGGGAAAGGGGAUUGUUGACAAAAAUUACAGGGGAGCCGUGUGUCGGCAUGCCAGUCUAUGUCAAAACCAACCAGGAUUUUAACCAAGUUCAUUUAAUGAAUUCGACUGUAAUAGAAACCCCCAUAGAAAUGAAAAAUUGGGUUCAGAGAUCAGAAUUUUUAAUUGACCAAGUUGGUACUUCUGGUGAUAGUGGUGCCCCAGUUUUCAAUGAAAACAAUUGCAUUGUGGGGAUUUAUCGUGGAGACAUUAGUCUUAACCAAAUUCCACUGACUGGGAAAUGCAUUAACAUCACAGACAUCUUGGUAGAUAAAAAAAAAAAAAAAAAAAAUAGAAAGUGGUUUCCAACUAUCUAUGAAAAAAUAAUCUCCUUUAUCUUGCCUUUCUUAAAAAUUCCAUGCAGUUUCGGUCCCUUCAGCAGACGGCAGAGAGACUGAAAUAUCUUUGUAUAAAUAUCUUUGGUUAAGGUGCUCUGCCUGUGCUUCAGCGCCCAGAUCCCCACAGCUGGAGCUGGCUGGCUAAGAUUGCGCAUGUGCAGCCCACUAAACCAGGCGUGCACAACCUGGGCCAUCUUCAACCAUUGACAUCUUCAAUAUGCACUCUCAGUCUUUGGCUGUAGUCGGUGCUCAUUAAAUCAGAUCGCAAAACACAAUUUGUUCAUAUAGCGCCUUUCAUGCAAGAUUGCAAUACAAAUUCGUUCACAUAGUAAAGAUAAAAAGAUCCAUAAAAAGCUGCAACAACACUGAAAACAUAAAAACGAUAAAACGACAUAGAUAGGAGCUAACUGAAUAUAUAACAGCAGAAGUUGGCACAAAACCCCAAAAACAGGAUCGGCCCCUUUUGUGCACCCCUGCACUAGAGUAACGCCACCUCAGUCAUUUUUACCUCUGCUGGAGGACUUUCCCCGGAAAGAAACGCCUGCCCCCACGUUAGCCUGUGUGAGCGCGGGUACCAUCAGCCAGGCCAGGAGCGACGGGAUCUGUUUCCGUGGAGACCAUUUUCACCAUUCCAGAGUGACGGGAUCCGUUUCCGUGGAGACCAUUUCCACCCUCUCCUGAGUGAGGAGAUCCGUUUUCGUGGAGCCAUGUGUUCGCCUGUGAGGACUGAACAUGUGGCUGUGACAUCACUUCUCUGAGAUACAACAAGGAGGAAGUGGAUAACUUACCAAAGAAUCCCAAAACACAGGAACUCCACACGGAACAAGCACAUGACAUCACAGACCCAACGCAUGACAUCACAACCAGGAUGGCAACAUCUGGACGACCAGGCUGAGACUACAGGAACCAAGCUGAGAACAUCAUAGCAGGCUCACAUGGGGACAAGCUUUCUUUCCGCCCUUUCCCUAACACCCCCCACUCCAAAAAAA